rnacentral:rRNA from 1 species
GUGGGGAAUCUUGCGCAAUGGGCGAAAGCCUGACGCAGCCAUGCCGCGUGAAUGAUGAAGGUCUUAGGAUUGUAAAAUUCUUUCACCGGGGACGAUAAUGACGGUACCCGGAGAAGAAGCCCCGGCUAACUUCGUGCCAGCAGCCGCGGUAAUACGAAGGGGGCUAGCGUUGCUCGGAAUUACUGGGCGUAAAGGGCGCGUAGGCGGACAGUUUAGUCAGAGGUGAAAGCCCAGGGCUCAACCUUGGAAUUGCCUUUGAUACUGGCUGUCUUGAGUACGUGAGAGGUGAGUGGAACUCCGAGUGUAGAGGUGAAAUUCGUAGAUAUUCGGAAGAACACCAGUGGCGAAGGCGACUCACUGGCCCGUUACUGACGCUGAGGCGCGAAAGCGUGGGGAGCAAACAGGAUUAGAAACCCCGGUAGUCC